rnacentral:rRNA from 1 species
CAGUAGCCGCGGUAAUACGUAGGUGGCAAGCGUUGUCCGGAAUGAUUGGGCGUAAAGGGCGCGCAGGCGGCUGUGUAAGUCUGUCUAGAAAGUGCGGGGCUAAACCCCGUGAGAGGAUGGAAACUGGACAGCUGAGAGUGUCGGAGAGGAAAGCGGAAUUCCUAGUGUAGCGGUGAAAUGCGUAGAUAUUAGGAGGAACACCGGUGGCGAAAGCGGCUUUCUGGACGACAACUGACGCUGAGGCGCGAAAGCCAGGGGAGCAAACGGGAUUAGAUACCCCAGUAGUCCCUGUCUCUUAUAC